rnacentral:rRNA from 1 species
UACGUAGGGUGCAGGCGUUAAUCGGAAUUACUGGGCGUAAAGCGUGCGCAGGCGGUUUGCUAAGACAGGUGUGAAAUCCCCCGGGCUUAACCUGGGAACUGCGCUUGUUACUGGCAAGCUGGAGUGUGGCAGAGGGGGGGUGGAAUUCCACGUGUAGCAGUGAAAUGCGUAGAGAUGUGGAGGAACACCGAUGGCGAAGGCAGCCCCCUGGGCUAACACUGACGCUCAUGCACGAAAGCGUGGGGAGCAAACAGG